CUGUUUGUUUGUGUUGAGCGAUUGGAAAUGGCGGAGAGCAGAGACCAAAGCGAUAACUCGGGCUAGCAAACGCAAGUGCGCCGUCAUUGAAACGCAGAAACCUUUCGCAAGUGGUUCUCGGAGUUACUUACGGUUUGCUGCUGCCGACGGGACACAAGUCGCACGCGAGGUGAGCGGAUUUUCGGAGCGAGGUUUGGAUUUAGCGGAGCUACUUAGCUGGCUAAGCUAACCGUGCUAGCAACCUGGCGUUAGCUGGCUCCGAGUGGUGUGUGUGUGAUUUUAAGCACGCAGGCUUGUUUGUCAACAUAAGCUGACGUUGAAUUGAUAGCGAGCCAGCUAACAUACAACUCCCCCGGUCACCCAGCUUAACCUGAGUGUGUUUAUAACAUGGUGGCCACAGCUGAGCGCAGAUUUAUCUGUGCAAAGUGAGAGUGGAUAAAAAAGUCAGACAUCUGACCAUCCUGGUCGCCAGCAAGCUGCAAGUUAAGCUGGUCAGCCAAGUUAGCUAACUGGCUUGCUUUGCACACAGUCUAAACUGACUCUUUUGUUUGCCUGGGAAUUAAUCAGCCAGCGUGAAGCAAGAUCUCAGUGUUUGCAAGCUGAACGGACGGCUGAACAGGACUGUGAGAGGACGCCAGAAUACACGGAAACCCACACAUGCAAACUGCACAGAAAGAUCCCAACUGACCAGGAAGCUUGCUGUACUCCAUUGAUGGCGUUAAUCUCUUACUGAGGUGUGACAUCUACAUUUCCAGUCAAGUUUCAGCAUGCAGUGGUACAUUUCAGAUCAUCUAUCAAAUUAUGCAAUGGGACGUGCAGGAGAUUUCGUUUCUGCAAAACUGCAACAGAUGGGCUCUUGGUGUAGCCUGUGGUUUGUCCCUGAAGUCUGGCGCUCUGAGUCAUUGUGAGGCGGUAACACACACACAGGCACAAACCUAUGUACAUACAUACAUACAUGCGUACUGUAUUCAGCUGCUGCUGUGGCUAAAACAGAAAGCGGGGAGGAGGAGGAGAGCACCGCUGCUUCGGCUCCUCCGUCAGAGCAAUGGCCUACAUUCUCGCCUGAGGGGGGAAAAAAGGCUUGUGCAGCAGACAGUGAGAAUUUGAGGGGUGGGAGGGAAUGGAGUGAAGGAGAAAGGUAAAGGCAAAGAACAAGAGGAACCGAGCACAUACAGGAAGAAACUGAUAGUGCAGCUGAGAAAAUAGAGUGAUGAGAGUAGUAGUGGCGAGCAAGUUAACAGUUGAGCCCUAAUGGCUGAGUUUUUCUGAACAAGGUCAGGCUACAAUAAAAACAGUCACCCAACAGUUUUUACCUUGUGGAUGGAUCUGAGUGGAUCCGAGUUGGUGUUUUCUGAUGAGAACCGUUUGAGUGGCAAUGCUGGAAGCAGAGAAAGUGAGCAGCCUUUUUUUCUCAGGUACAUUAGUGUGCCUGGACGACACUGUUGGUAAUCCACCUGACAGAAGGGG
ensembl:lncRNA